UAACUCAUAAGUAGCACUUGUUAAGUGAUA
rnacentral:piRNA from 1 species